CAUCCAACCUGGUCUUGAGCACCUCCAGGCAAGGGGCACCACAGCUUCUCUGAGCAGCCUGUGCCAGUUUGUCCUCUUCCUCCACCCACAUCACAAGUCCAGUAGAUAUUUCUUCUCUUGGUGAAGACCUUUGUGUUUUUUAUGAAUCAUACUGUGGUACAAGGUUGCAAGUCAAGAGCAUAAGACCCAUCAUAUGAGGAUCUUCCAUAUUUCUCCCAAUUCUACUUAUGAUCAUUUGGAAUAAUCCAGCACUGCUUUAGAGUGCAUAAAUUACUGGAUGGGGAUAUCCAGUUCUCCCAACACAAAGUUUUCAGAUGUUUCUGCCCAGAUGAGCAAUUACAAGUAGCUAGCUUGGAAGGAAAUGAAAAGGAGAUUGCACAGGUGUUUGAACGACUUGCAGAUACUCCCUUUGAUGGUUCCUGUUGUUAGGGCAGUCACGUAAAACAGGUGACUCCUUCUCUUCUCUUUUUUGAUCAGAUGACCACAGUGGAAGAAUAAGUGGAAAAACAGGAUUACCAAAGCAUGCAUUUUUCAUUUCUAUAUUACCUUACUCACCUUUUUUAAAGAGUAUGGGUUAAAAGAGUAAAAAAAAAUGGCAAACAAGCCUGUGUAUUACAGCUGACAAUGAGCAUGAAUUUGGAAGAUUUUCAGUGGUGACUAUACUUUCCGUACAUGGUUAUGAGCCGGUUUUUGGUUUGGUUUGGUUUGAGUUGACUUGGGUUUUUCAGGCGUUACAAAAAACAGUAAAUCCCUUCAAAUGUUGCAUUAGGAGUAAGUCUCAAAAUUCUCCGCUAGAGGACACUCUCUUCUUUUAAAUGACAUGUUUUGUAGUCGUCUAAGUGAACGACGAGUUCCCAGCUGCGAGACCUACCUCUUUCGGUCCUACCUCAGUGAGUUUAUAAAAAUGUACGAAUGAGGUCAGCGCUGAGGGACUUGUUUGAAGUCUCAGAAUGGAAAAAGAUUUUUAAAGCAGCAUCCAGUUAGAUUAGGUAACCUUUAAGAUUGAACCAAAGCGUGUGGAAAAUCUCACUCAGUUUUGACACGUGUAAUAUUUUAUGCAUAUAAAAAUAUCAAAAAUAUCUUCACCUCGUUUUGUCAUUUACACUAAAAAUUUUAUCAAACACGAUUCUCACCCAUGGUGGAGACACUCAGUUUUAUUUUUACUUCACUGAAUGUGAGAAUGUUAGUGCUUAAUAUAUGCUGUUGAAACGUCAGGCAAUUAAUGUGUUACUUUUUCUUAGGGUCCAUUUUCGUGUCAGACCUGCCCCAAUUUAAUGGGGAAAUGCUAAUGAAAGGGCUAAUUCCACUCAUUUGUCUGCUUGUACCUGGCUUUGUGUUUCCUUUGCCUUUAUUCUUUCAGACCUAAUGACUGUGCAGUUGCAAGGUGAGCUGGACUAAUCAGGUGGCUGAACAGAGAACAAAACCACCAAAACAAUCAGAUGGGCUAUUUUGAGCCAAAGCACUAGGUCCUCUGCACAGGAGCUGGAGGCAUACAGCUGGGAGAGAAAGGCAGGAGCAGGACUUCCCUGCAGCAGCAGUUUGCCUUUGCACCAGACUAGCUGCAACAUGAUAUCACACAUUUUCAGGCCGCUAAAAAUGUCAUGCAAACACCACUUUGUUUUUUAUUUGUUUUGUUUCUGAAACUGAAGUUAGGUCACAUCCUGGCUUCUGAUCUGUAAUGUUAGAAUCAUGUAAUCUCCUGGAGUUCGCUGGGUUCACAGCUGCUACAAAACAGGUGGCCUGAGAGAAUUAGACCAAUAAAAGAAGUAAAGUACCUGGCAAAGGUAAUUAUGUGGCAACUUGUUCUAAAAGAGGGAAACCAAGCCAAGUUUCUGACAUGGAAAAGUGUUCCUCUGAGGUGUUGUUCAACUCAGACCAAAACUUUCCAUUACCCUGAUCCUUUCCAGACCAGCAUAGGACGCUAAGCUGAGCUUGGAGAGUCUGUCAGCAGCUAAAAGCCCGGCGAUACGUGUUUCUCCAAGAACCGCCUAACCCUUGGCCUCUGUCAGCGAAGGUGCCAGGUCUGGUGGCAGUUUCUGUAAUCCAGAGUUUUCAGCUCCAAAGUGGACGGACAAGUUAAUUCCCUUCAUGUGGACCACCAGACAGCCAUCAGGCGCUGAUCAGUUUCAUUGGCUGUGCACAUGCACGCGGUUCACUUCUGUAAAUCCCUCUGCAGCUAAGCUCUCAGCACAGAAAUCUCUCUGAAGACCUUCAGAAAAACCAUGUUCCAGUGCUUAUUUAAGCUGUGUCUUGGUCAUCUCAUCCCUUUCUGCAAAGCUGGUGGCUCCUGGCAGCUGCAGGAGUUGCAUCUCCCCUCCAUUCUCAAGGAAGUGCAGGGAUCCAGGAAGCUCCUCUGGGUGAUGGUUAUUUCCUGGCCUCCCUUCCGUGACCUAUGACCGAUGAUGACCUUUAGCUAGAGAAUGUGACAUUUUGUUCUCCUCUGGCUGACAUGUGAUGCCCUCAUUAUUCAAAGACACCACGGUGCCGUUUGGACUGGAGCGGAAAGGCGUAGACUGGAUUUCAUCCUGAUAUGAAGUACAGGCAAGGCAAAAGGCCAGCUCCACAUCCCACAGUUUAGACAUAGCUAGUCAAUCCAUUAAGCAAGUGUCUUUUGAAUAACCAUAUAUCCAGCCCAGCUGGCUGUGAAUCAGUGGCAGAAAAAUUAAUAAAAUUCCAAAUAAAAGCAAAAAAUAAAUAGACUUCCUCAUUUUCUGGACCUUCUUUGUUUUACAGUGUUGGAACUUUUCUCAUGUAAGUUUUUAACAUUCUGAGGGAAAGAAGGAUCAGACAGUGUAGCAGAUGGAGAAAAGUUACUGCCAGUGACAUGAUAUGACGCUUUUUUGUGCUUGUUUUUGUUCAAAACACCUUUUUGUCUCUAAAUUUUUAGAAAGCUAUUUUCCAAUGUAGUGGAGAAUGUACAAUGGGGACUAAGAUUGUAUUUAACUCACCUUAUUUCCCAACUCACCCGAUCGCUAAAGGCUUCCCUUAUAAUUUUUUUAAUGGGAAAUUCAUCUGACAAAAUGAAGACUCAUGUUUUCCCACUGCUAAAUGGAGCCAAAGUCGAUUAGCUCAGAGGUAGAUAUCUACAUUUAAUCAAACUAAUCCCAUCCAUGAGUCUGCCUUCAAAUCUUUCUUCUUCACUGGCCCCAGUAUGUGACAGUGUCCACACUGGUGCUCUACUAGCUGUACUGGAAGGGACUUUUUGUUCAAUAUUCUCUUGGUUCUAAGUAAUUCAUUAAAUGGGGUUGCCAUGGGGAUACAGUCUCUGGGUGGCCUUGCUUUCUUUCUCUCAUCCACUUAUACGCAGUGUGCACUGUACAAUACUUUAUGCAAAUAAGUUCCAAGCAGAGUUGCUUGUCAUUAGCACAGACAACUCUAGAAGCAAAAACAAAUAGAAUUUGUUGGUAAGAAAUCUGUCAUUAAGGAAUUUUUUUGCACCCCUGCAGUGAUGCACAGUGCACUUCACUCUUGUCAACCUACCUCUUCAUAUCUUUUGUACACACAGUGGAAAAAUGUCAUUUUUGGUACCUUUUCUCCAAUUACAGGCUUAUUGAUAUCAUACCAGAAUGCUGGUAAAAUGCUGGAAAGCACGAGAGAAGGAUUUCCUGGAUACCAUCUCUGUUCAAACGAGGAUAAAGUGCAGCCAAAGAAGGAAAGACAAACAAAAGGUUUAAAGCGUUGCUGGAGAAGGAAAGAACUAGACGAGAAACCACAGUCUGGAUGUAAUUAUGAGUUUUACAGGAUCCUGCAGCACUUCCAGAACUGCUGAGGACCUGGGCCAUAUCUGUCAGCUGGGAUGGCAGAAGAAGAAAUCCCCAUCAUACAGCUCGUAAGUGAAGGGGUCUAGCUGGACUAGAUAACCAUACAGAGUAAAGGAAAUAUCUGAUGAAGACUCCACAGAUUCCUCGUUACUUCUGUAUUUCACCUGGCUUAUGAAUAUUUGCAUGAACAGAUUUUGGCUCACACUGGGAGGCAUCCUCUCAUAUAAAUAUCUAUGGUAACAUAGCAACAAGGGAUUUUGUGCAUAAAACUAGUUUUUUAACUGAUGUCUCUUAGUUUCUAAAAUGAUCAGCUCUUCUGGAAAAAAAAAUGAAGUAGCUAAUUCAUAUUUGAAACCUAAACUCAUUUUCUCUCAAACUUUUCAACUGUGAUUCUGCACAAGAGUUGCUAUGGCUUCACUCUUUAGUUAUAAAUGCUUUGAAAAUAAUUUAAAUUUGACUUGAUAUUGAAACAAUACCAUUGCUAAGAUGAUCUUCAGGUGGUCAUUGUAUGUCAUGUUGUUUUCUAGAAUUUGUAUUUUAAAAUUAAUCAUGAAAUCCUUUCACCAUAUAUUAAAUAAAAUAUCAUGAAGUAUAAAAACAAGGGCUGUACCUGAGACUCGAAAGUUGCUAUUCCUGACAGCACUUCAUCUUUUUCAUACCCAUAUUGGCUUUUAUCCCGGCCCAUCUAUUCCUUAAUGUAACUGUUAUAAAUUGAUGUAAAGUGCCAUAAAAUAUAAUAAACAUGAAUCAAUAUUUCUUGGUUAAAAAACUCAGAAAUGCUGAUGAAGCUCAAGUUUAUUAUAGGUGUCCUGAACCCACAAUGUGCCUUUAUUUUUUUUUACCUUCAUCAUUUUUUCAGGUCUUGAGUUCAUGUGUGCAUACACAUUUACUCUUCACAAAUCAAAGAGGCAGUGAAAAUUAAAAUUACUAAUGCAGAGCUAACGAAGCACCUAGCAUUUUAACUAAUUGUUUUAGGCAGGGUAUCCUGUAGGUACAUGGCUGUUAUGUUUGAUAUGUAUGACCCAAUUCAAACAAAUUCUGUAUGGAUCUAGUGAAUAUUAAGGAUGCGCACAGCACAGAAAGUUUGGGGAUUAUUCAGAUACUUGAAGUUAAGCAUAUGUUAAAAUGCUUUGCUGAAUCAGGGUAUUAAUGAAGAAGCAUGGCACAGUAGUGCUAUUUGCCAUAAAAAUUCAUCAUUGCCAUGGAACUCAGCUCAUUAAAGAAGAUGCCAUGAUUUGUGUUUAAAAUAUGAAAGAAAUAUGAUGCCUGCAUGGUGCAUUAAAUACCCAAGCAUACACAUGCAUUUAAAUUCUUACUAUCUUUUUAAGGAUAUUGUUGUGAAUUAUGUGCUUAUAUAUGCGAGAGCAUCCUUCAUUGCGAAGUGACAGUUCGUUUCCACAUCCAGCUGAUGCUCUUUACAUAUUAUUAGUAUUAUUUAUUCUCAGUCUGAAGCUAAUGAUAGAUUUCUUUGUCCUCGGUUGGUUUCGUGGUUUCUCCACAUGAACCACCAUGGGCUGGGAUGCAGCCUGACAGGAGCACUUGAAGCCUCUCCCCUCAGGAAAGCAAACUCAUCCCUUCUCCCCAGUCACGAUGGGAGGCUGUGGGCAGUACCCAGUACUGGGGAGAGCCUGGUCCUGUGAGAGGGUGCCUGGGGGUGCCCAGAUGGACAUCGCAGCCUGGGGCUCACUGCUACCCAACAAGGAUGGGGCUGUGCCGUAGCCUGCUACCAGGAGCAUGAUGUGCUCCAUGAUUGGGGAGAGAGGCACCGUGGCACUCUGGUGGCCCUGCAGUCCUUCUGUGGUGGCUCAGAAAUCUAUUUUAAAUGGCCUACAUCCUGGUAAAGCAAUACUAUUAUUUCACACAAUAGCAAUAGUUCUGACUGAUUUUUCUGGGGACGGAGAGGCUGUGGCAAUGACUUUGGGGCUGACUGAGCAACGAUGGCAGCCUUGUGCCGUGCGAUUGCCUGUGCCAUUGGCUGUUCAGGCCAAGUGUCCAUGUCUGGAAAUGAGGUCACUAAAGUGGAAGAAAGAUAACAUGUCUCUAAGCUUCAUGUUGUUGCAUGUUUUUUGAAAUCCAGCUAUUUAUAAAUGUGAUAGUGCUCUGUUUCUCCUGCCUCUUUCAGCACGCCAGUGAAGAAUGUGUGAAAAGCUCUAAUUUUCCUCGAAGAAAAGAGUAAGUGUCUUGUGAUUUCAGUGAAAAGCUGUGUUCACACUGUGGUCAAUAAAUUCCUAUAGACAA